rnacentral:tRNA from 1 species
GGGCUCGUAGCUCAGCGGGAGAGCACUGCUUUGACGUAGCAGGGGUCAGUGGUUCGAUCCCACUCGGGCCUACCA